rnacentral:rRNA from 1 species
UACGUAGGGUGCGAGCGUUGUCCGGAAUUAUUGGGCGUAAAGGGCUCGUAGGCGGUUUGUCACGUCGGCUGUGAAAUCCCGAGGCUCAACCCCGAGCCUGCAGUCGAUACGGGCAGACUAGAGUGCUGUAGGGGGAGACUGGAAUUCCUGGUGUAGCGGUGAAAUGCGCAGAUAUCAGGAGGAACACCGGUGGCGAAGGCGGGUCUCUGGGCAGUAACUGACGCUGGAGGAGCGAAAGCGUGGGGAGCGAACAGG